GACGGAGGCGGGCACCCCCAGGCGCGGCCAGCGGGCGCCUGCCCGAGUCGCCAGAGCUCCCCCGGCCCCGCUCGGCCCGUGCGGCUGCCCCCAGCUCCAGCCCCUCCCCUGAAGCCUGCGCUGUAGCCGCAGGCAGCCCCCGAGCCCUGUCGUGAGGGCAGCAAGCUGGCCCUGCGGUGGUCUCGAGUCUCCCUUAACAGGCCACGCUGUGGGUGCGGUUGUCCGUUCGUCCCCUGGGGAUGCCGUUGACUGCAGCAGCCUCAGGCUUGCGUGGGCUGUCUCUGCCUGGCCUCCCUCUCCUUGCGGCGCGGGAGCACAGAGGGACAUGCGGAGCGCUUACUGGCUGUGGACAGGAGCUGCUGAAGCUGACGUUGAAGCUGGAGAGGCCACAGAAUGGUAAAGCUGCUGAAGAAUAAAAUAAAGAGGAUCCAGCCACCAGCUGCAGACAGGAGAUAGCCUGCCUCUCCAGGUGGAUGACAGUCAAGUGAGUGCAGCUACAGAGGAGGAAGGGAGAGGGAGAGAGAGACAGACAUGUCUGAACUGUCAAAUUCUCCCAGCAGCUCCAACAGCGGGAGAAGCUGUCAGUCCUGCAGACACCAAGGUCAGUGAAGAAGAAAAAGGAGGUGGUGAUCCAGGUCCUAAAGCAGAGAUUCCCCUGCAGCCUGCAGUGAAGACCAUGGUGACACAGGCUGUCCCCCUGCAGCCCACGGAGGUCCAUGGCGGAGCAGAUAUGCACCCUGCAGCCGAUGGAGGACCCCUCGCCAGAGCAGGCGGAUUCACCCGAAGGAGGCUGUGACGCUGUGGAGAGGAGCCCACACUGGAGCAGGUUUUCUGGCAGGACCUGCGGCCCCAUGGGAGUGACACCACACUGGAACAGAAGAAGAGCACAAAGAAGGAAGGAGCAGCAGAGACAACUUGUGAUGAACUGACUGCAACCCCCCGCUCCUUCUCCCCCUGUGCUGCUCGGUAGGAGGAGGUAGAGAAGUCAGGAGUGAAGAUGAGCCCAGGAAAAAAAGAGAGGGGUGGGGGGAAGGUGUUUUUCAGAUUUGUUCGUAUUUCUCAUUAUUGUACUCUGAUUUUGACUGACAAUAAAUUAAUUUCCCCAAGUCGA